rnacentral:tRNA from 1 species
GUCAAUAUGUCCGAGUGGUUACGGAGAUAGACUCGAAAUUUAUUGGGCUUUGCCUGCGCAGGUUCGAAUCCUGCUAUUGACG